UCAGAACUGAGGAGGGAAGUGGUCAGGUU
rnacentral:piRNA from 1 species